rnacentral:rRNA from 1 species
GACGGACGCUGGCGGCGUGCUUAACACAUGCAAGUCGAGCGAGGCCCCUCCUUCGGGAGGGUGUCCUAGCGGCGAACGGGUGAGUAACACGUGGGCAACCUGCCCUCAGCUCUGGGAUAACUCCGGGAAACCGGGGCUAAUACCGGAUACGACCUCCACGGGCAUCUGCGGAGGUGGAAAGUUUUUCGGCUGAGGAUGGGCCCGCGGCCUAUCAGCUAGUUGGUGGGGUAGUGGCCCACCAAGGCGACGACGGGUAGCCGGCCUGAGAGGGCGACCGGCCACACUGGGACUGAGACACGGCCCAGACUCCUACGGGAGGCAGCAGUGGGGAAUAUUGCGCAAUGGGCGAAAGCCUGACGCAGCGACGCCGCGUGAGGGACGAAGGCCUUCGGGUUGUAAACCUCUUUCAGCAGGGACGAAGCGAAAGUGACGGUACCUGCAGAAGAAGCACCGGCCAACUACGUG